rnacentral:misc_RNA from 1 species
ACCGACAUUGGUGACUAUGAGGUGAAACUGCGUAACCUCAUUCGUUUCCUUGAGGCCGGCGACAAAGCGAAAAUCACCGUCCGUUUCCGCGGCCGGGAGAUGGCUCACCAGGAACUGGGCCGGGAGCUUCUCGCGCGUGUCGAGAAGGACCUGGAAGAAUACGGUUCCGUUGAGCAACGUCCGAACAUGGAAGGGCGCCAGAUGAUCAUGGUGCUCAGCCCGGGCAAAAAGAAGAAGCAGUCCUGAUCGACUGUUUAAUUAAUUCACCAACUUGAGAAGGUACCAUGCCUAAAAUCAAGACAAAUCGUGGGGCUGCCAA